ACUGGCCCAACUGAUUGAUGGUGCUUGCACCUGAUUGACGAUGGAUCACCAGUGAGUGGCGGACGGGUGAGUAACACGUAGGUAACCUGCCCCGGAGCGGGGGAUAACAUUUGGAAACAGAUGCUAAUACCGCAUAACAACAAAAGCCACAUGGCUUUUGUUUGAAAGAUGGCUUUGGCUAUCACUCUGGGAUGGACCUGCGGUGCAUUAGCUAGUUGGUAAGGUAACGGCUUACCAAGGCGAUGAUGCAUAGCCGAGUUGAGAGACUGAUCGGCCACAAUGGAACUGAGACACGGUCCAUACUCCUACGGGAGGCAGCAGUAGGGAAUCUUCCACAAUGGGCGCAAGCCUGAUGGAGCAACACCGCGUGAGUGAAGAAGGGUUUCGGCUCGUAAAGCUCUGUUGUUGGAGAAGAACGUGCGUGAGAGUAACUGUUCACGCAGUGACGGUAUCCAACCAGAAAGUCACGGCUAACUACGUGCCAGCAGCCGCGGUAAUACGUAGGUGGCAAGCGUUAUCCGGAUUUAUUGGGCGUAAAGCGAGCGCAGGCGGUUGCUUAGGUCUGAUGUGAAAGCCUUCGGCUUAACCGAAGAAGUGCAUCGGAAACCGGGCGACUUGAGUGCAGAAGAGGACAGUGGAACUCCAUGUGUAGCGGUGGAAUGCGUAGAUAUAUGGAAGAACACCAGUGGCGAAGGCGGCUGUCUGGUCUGCAACUGACGCUGAGGCUCGAAAGCAUGGGUAGCGAACAGGAUUAGAUACCCUGGUAGUCCAUGCCGUAAACGAUGAGUGCUAGGUGUUGGAGGGUUUCCGCCCUUCAGUGCCGGAGCUAACGCAUUAAGCACUCCGCCUGGGGAGUACGACCGCAAGGUUGAAACUCAAAGGAAUUGACGGGGGCCCGCACAAGCGGUGGAGCAUGUGGUUUAAUUCGAAGCUACGCGAAGAACCUUACCAGGUCUUGACAUCUUGCGCUAACCUUAGAGAUAAGGCGUUCCCUUCGGGGACGCAAUGACAGGUGGUGCAUGGUCGUCGUCAGCUCGUGUCGUGAGAUGUUGGGUUAAGUCCCGCAACGAGCGCAACCCUUGUUACUAGUUGCCAGCAUUAAGUUGGGCACUCUAGUGAGACUGCCGGUGACAAACCGGAGGAAGGUGGGGACGACGUCAGAUCAUCAUGCCCCUUAUGACCUGGGCUACACACGUGCUACAAUGGACGGUACAACGAGUCGCAAGCUCGCGAGAGUAAGCUAAUCUCUUAAAGCCGUUCUCAGUUCGGACUGUAGGCUGCAACUCGCCUACACGAAGUCGGAAUCGCUAGUAAUCGCGGAUCAGCAUGCCGCGGUGAAUACGUUCCCGGGCCUUGUACACACCGCCCGUCACACCAUGGGAGUUUGUAACGCCCAAAGUCGG
rnacentral:rRNA from 1 species